CCUACGGGUGGCAGCAGUGGGGGAUAUUGCACAAUGGGGGGAACCCUGAUGCAGCGACGCCGCGUGGGUGAAGAAGCGCCUCGGCGCGUAAAGCCCUGUCAGCAGGGAAGAAAAUGACGGUACCUGAAGAAGAAGCCCCGGCUAACUACGUGCCAGCAGCCGCGGUAAUACGUAGGGGGCAAGCGUUAUCCGGAUUUACUGGGUGGAAAGGGGGCGCAGACGGCGGUGCAAGCCAGGAGUGAAAGCCCGGGGCCCAACCCCGGGACUGCUCUUUGAACUGCGUGGCUGGAGUGGAGGAGGGGCAGGCGGAAAUCCGGGUUGAGGGGUUGAAAGGG
rnacentral:rRNA from 1 species